GCAAUUGUGGUAACUGUGACUCAGGGGAUUGUGAUGUUUGUCUUGGUAUCAUACGCCGUAGGAGCAAUUGUGUUCUUCUCGAAGAUUUAUCAAAAGUCAAGAACUUGGCCUUGAUGUCCGAAUCCAAGGCGUUUAUUUCUCAAGAGGAUUUGAAACGCUGCCCAACAUUUACCAAUUUGAAGACACUGUUACUCAGCGACUAUUGGUGUGUGACUCUCAACAUGGACGCACUAACUCGGAUUCUCAAUCAGUCACCACGUUGAGAGAAGCUAACGCUCGAACUUUUCUCGGAGGGACCUUAUCAUCAAGUGGAAAUGAAAGGAAGCUACAGUUCAAUACAGAGAUCAGCUGGAAUAUCUGAACAUCUUAGGAUAGUGGAGGUCAAAUUUGAACAGAUUGAUGCGAGAGUUCUCAAAGUUUUGAAGCUCUUGUGUACAUUUAACAUACGUUUCAGUUUCUGAGUAGGUUGGGAAAAUAUGUGCUGGCUUUGGAGUUUGGAUUUACUCACUCUUGACUACUCACAAGGGAAUGUCUAAGUUUGGUUUGGCGAGGCUAUAGUUAUCUUUCAUAAGUUAUAGUCAGGGAAACAUUUUAGAUUUGGCAGCGCACUUGUAGAGAAUUUUAAAUUAUCUUGUCGGAGCAUUGUUGC